rnacentral:rRNA from 1 species
UACGGGGGGGGCAAGCGUUGUUCGGAAUUACUGGGCGUAAAGGGCUCGUAGGUGGCCAACUAAGUCAGACGUGAAAUCCCUCGGCUUAACCGGGGAACUGCGUCUGAUACUGGAUGGCUAGAGAUUGGGAGAGGGAUGCGGAAUUCCAGGUGUAGCGGUGAAAUGCGUAGAUAUCUGGAGGAACACCGGUGGCGAAGGCGGCAUCCUGGACCAACACUGACGCUGAGGAGCGAAAGCCAGGGGAGCGAACGGG